CACUCCUGCGGGAGGCAGCAGUGAGGAAUAUUGGACAAUGGGUGGAAGCCUGAUCCAGCCAUCCCGCGUGCAGGAAGACGGCCCUAUGGGUUGUAAACUGCUUUUAUCUGGGGAUAAACCUACUUACGUGUAAGUAGCUGAAGGUACCAGAAGAAUAAGCACCGGCUAACUCCGUGCCAGCAGCCGCGGUAAUACGGAGGGUGCAAGCGUUAUCCGGAUUUAUUGGGUUUAAAGGGUCCGUAGGCGGACUGAUAAGUCAGUGGUGAAAUCCGACAGCUUAACUGUCGAACUGCCAUUGAUACUGUUAGUCUUGAGUAAGGUUGAAGUGGCUGGAAUAAGUAGUGUAGCGGUGAAAUGCAUAGAUAUUACUUAGAACACCAAUUGCGAAGGCAGGUCACUAAGUCUUAACUGACGCUGAUGGACGAAAGCGUGGGGAGCGAACAGGAUUAGAAACCCUGGUAGUCCCAU
rnacentral:rRNA from 1 species